rnacentral:rRNA from 1 species
AUGUGAUCGUCUCUCGCAUAUCAAUAAGCGGAGGAAAAGAAACUAACAAGGAUUCCCCUAGUAACGGCGAGUGAAGCGGGAAGAGCUCAAAUUUGAAAUCUUAAAGGGUUUCCCUUUACGAAUUGUAGUUUAAAGAAGUGUUUUCUGUUGAGGUUUUGGUAAAAGUUCUUUGGAAUAGGACAUCAUAGAGGGUGAGAAUCCCGUAUUUGACCUUUACUUUCAACUUUGUGAUACACUUUCAAAGAGUCGGAUUGUUUGGGAAUGCAGUCCAAAAUGGGUGGUAAAUUUCAUCUAAAGCUAAAUAUUGGCGAGAGACCGAUAGCGAACAAGUACCGUGAGGGAAAGAUGAAAAGAACUUUGAAAAGAGAGUUAAACAGUACGUGAAAUUGUCAAAAGGGAAGCGUUUGACACCAGUGUUGUUUUUCUGAAAAUCAAUUAAAGUACUGUUUAUGCUAAGUUGUUUAGACUUUAUCAGCUAACUGUUUAGUUUUGAGCUUUUCUUUAACGCACUUUUCAGUUAACAAGUCAACAUCAAUUUCUUUUGCUGUAAAAAAGCUUGAGGAAGGUGGCUUGAGAUUCGUCUUAAGUGUUUAUAGCCUCUUGCCUAUGCAGUCGGAGAGAUUGAGGUCUGCAGCGUAGAUCCUUCGGGGCUAAAUGCAUUUGUGCUAAGUUAUAGCAUUUUAUAGACAACUUGUUGACUAUGAUUUGUCUUGUAGCUUACUCGCUUAUGUUAUUUUACCUACGCUUAGGAUGUUGAGCGCAUGUCUCUCUCU